GUAAAAUUAAUGAUCUCAUUAUAUGGACAUUAUAGUUGAUAUUGCAUUUCUAGAAAGCACCUGAAAGUAAUACUCGUUGUUCUGGGCAACGUAGUGUGCAACAGAGUCCUGUUAAACACAUGGUAAAAGCACUAAAACAGGCAAAGGAGAAAUUACUAGAGGAAAACGCUCCAUCUACUCUCAGCCACAAAGCAGGAGAAAAGAAAAGGAAGAGGUGCAAUGAAUGCUCUGAGUGCAAAAAAGAGGAUUGUGGUUCAUGUCAUACAUGCAAAGAUUCAUACAUGCAAAGAUAUGCUAAAAUUUGGGGGCAGUGGACGCAAAAAACAAUGCUGUCAAUAUAGAAAAUGCAGAGCAUUAAAUUCAGCAAAAUGUCCUUGGGUAACCAAGACGUCAAGGUGGUUUGGAUCUGCAUUACUUAAUGAAAUAAUCACACAGAUAAACACAAGUGUAACCAUGAAGAUGGACGGAAGAUUGACCAAGUAUUAGGUGCUAAACAGUUAACAGGUGAUUCAGACAAACAUGGCAUACUAAGAGAAAAGCUAUGUGAAUUUAUCACUGUAAACAGUGAGCUUCUAGAGGAGUGGGUCACAGCAGGGGUAACUUUUGAAGAAUACCUGGCCUCUGUCACUAAGCCAGCUGGAACUUAAAGCAGCAGCAACGCUGUUCAACCUUGAUAUAUAUGUUGCCACGAAUUCUCUGCUAACCAGUGGAUAUUACAUCUGGACAAUGAUAUCUCCACUCAAACCCGUCAGUUCGUGUUGUUUUCUAGAUAAAGAGUGGCUCAUUCAUUUCAACUCUCAACGUAAAUCAUGGCUAGAGAUAUGUCACCAAAAUGGAUGCCAUUAUGAUUGCAUAAAUUCAAUCCAAUGAUAACCAUCUUACCCCCUCCUCUGAAGCUAGGAGAGAGUGCAAACAUCACUAUUUUAUGAACUGAUUUUACCUGUAGACUAUCUCUGUUCCCAAGUAGUACUAGUCACAGUGUACAUUAUAC